GGGCCUCAAGGGCUCGAAUACAUAAGCUCGAAAACACAAGAGUCAGCGGAAGCAACAAUAUCUGAAUACAAACAUGAGUUAUACAAGUUUGCCUUUAGAAGGCUAGCACAAAAGCAACAACGGUCAAAAAGGCAAGGCCUCCUGCCUGGGAGCCUCCUAACUACUCCUGUUCGUCGGCGGCCUCCACGUAGUAGUAGGCACCCUCGGGGUGGUAGUAAUCAUCAGUGGUGUCGUCCGGAUCCUAGGCUCCAGCAUCUGGUUGCAACAUCCGGAAAUAAAGGAAAAGGGAAAAAAGAGGGAGCAAAGCAACCGUGAGUACUCAUCCGAAGUACUCAGCAAGCAAGGAUAUAUACUACAUAUGCAACAUUAUCAAAGGAAGGUUUUAUAUGUGGACUGGACUGCGGAAAUGCCAGAAUAAAGAGAAGGCCUAGUCCUAUCAAAGACUAGCAUCUUCAGGAAACCACCAUCUUGCAACAACAGGAGGGAGUAGGGUAGCAUAAUCUAAAGUAGUAGUAGUGUUAUCAACCUCGGCCAGAGAUCCUUUCUCGACUCCCUGCGAGAAAGCAAUCCCAGAGCCAUACUAUCCAAUUCUCAUCACAAUCCAUUUCUCAUCACAAUCCAUUUCUCAUCACAAGUAUCCAGUUCUAGUUGUAUCGAUCGGGAUACAACUCCAAGUGUCCGUUACCGUAGGACAGGCUAUCGAUAGAUGUUUUCUUCCCUACAGGGGUGCACCAACUUACCCACCACGCUCGAUUAACUCCGGCCAAACACACUUUCCUGGGUCAUGCCCGGCCUCGGCCAAACAAUACGCCGCAAUCCGACCUAGGCUUAAUAGAGAGGCCAGCACGCCGGACUAAACCUAUACCCCCAGGGGUCAUGGGCCAUCUCCCCGGGAACUCCUGCACAUUGCGAGGGCGGCCAAUGAGCAGACCUAGCUACCUCCCUAAAAAGGCAAGAGCUUACCAGUCCAACUCGGUGCGCGCCGCUCAGUCGCUGACGUUGAUUAAGCUUCGGCUGAUGCAUACGGCGCAGAACACCCAUACUAUGUCCACGUGAUGGUUAGUGCUAUCAGGCCAGAGGCCCCUCGGAUCAAAUAUCCAAAUCGUAGUGGAUUAGGAACGCGAGCGCAACAAGCAAAGACUCACGAAAGAUGUGACCCCGUCGCUCCGUCUCGAGUACUUGCGGCAAGGGCUAAGAAUGCCCGGCCGUGCCUCGUAAGUAUCUCGCGUGCACCCUCCAGGUCAACCCGUCUCCACAUUACUCGCAAAUAUGCUCGCGCGGGUACCCCUCAGGGCCGACCCGUCUUUAGUAACUGGGUUCAGAGUAAAGUCAUAGUAACCAUAGUAACUGUGUGUCUAACACCAAGGGGAAAACUCGAGGAAUCACCCCCGGUGAAUUCCACUCGAUGUAAUCAUCAAGGUGAACGUAAGAGGAUUCACCCUCGAGGUUCACACUUAAGGGGUUGCACGACAGAGCCGUAUCGGAAGUGGUUAAGGGGGAAAUCACCCUCGAUGACCACAACCUGAUAGAUAUACUACAGAGAUCUCAUCAUGAGUGAUGUAUGAAGUUCCACCCUCGGCACUCGAUGGUAACUCUGCAGAGUCGAGCAACAAAAGGGGAAAGUGAUGUGCGGUGCCGGGGCCUGGUCUUCGAUCCCGUUGAUCGGGUCUUCGAUGAUGAAGCAGGGGCAACAAGGACAAGAUGGGGGUCACUGAUGGAUCACUAACCAACCUAUACUAAGCAGUUUAGGAUAAGCAGGUAAGGUAACAAUAAGCAGGAUACAAAAGCAGGCUAUGCAUCAGAAUAGGAGCAACCAAUUACAGUAGCAAAAUCUAAUGCAAGCAUGAGAGAAAGGAAAUGGGCGAUAUCGGGAUGAUCAAAGGGGGGGCUUGCCUGGUUGCUCUGGCAGGGAGGGGUCGUCGGUGACGUAGUCGAUCACAGGGGCGACAUCGAUCUCGGGGUCUACCGGAGAGAAGAGGGGGAAGAAAUAAUAAAUAUAAAAGAAACAAAGCAUCAUAAAGCAUAUAACAUGGUAAAACGAUGUGCUAAAGGUGACCUAACGCAGUACUACUCGAUACAGGCGAAGGGAAAAAACAUCCAGGAAAUGUUUUCCCGAAGUUUGGCAUUUUCCGGACAAAUGAAUCGGAGGGGACGGAUCCAUGUUUGCUAUGCUAGAGGUAUGUGACAGGUAUGUGGGUGGCAUAUUCGGAUUCGUCACUUUUUUUGAGCAACUUUGAUAUAUAAAUUAUUUUCAUCUGAAUUAUAGAUUAUUUUAUAUGAUUUUUCAAUGUUUAAUUGAAUUUCUAAUAUUCUAAUUUUGUUUCAAAACGAGUUGACCAAGUCAUAAUGAUGGGUCAAAAGGGAAGGUGUGGCCCACAUGUCAUAGGCUAGAUAUUUUUAACUUACCUUAACCUUUAAAUUAUCAGCGAGGUCCACAUGUCAUAUGAAACUAAAUAGAUAACUAGCUAAUCUAAUUAGUGUUGGCUCAAUACCAGGUACUUCCGGCAAAGGCGAUACGACCUACGACGAACGACAAUGACUAACAAAGCCCGCUCACAAACACAACAAAGUGAUUUACGUCGAGUUGCACCGUAGUACAAAGCUAGCCUCCAAUUGAUCUAAGACUAGCCACAAUAGAGAGUAACAUACACUAGUAACAUAUACAUAUCCCUAGACUAUGUUAUUAUCUUCAUAGUGGGUAGUAACUUAACUGUGGCAACAUGCAAAGAUUCAUUUAUUAGGUUAUAGACUCAUAUUGCAUUGGGACAUGUGAUGUUACAGUAACUAGCUAAGUUAUUACAACUACCUCUCUCCUCAUUAACUCAUUGCCACAUAAGCAAAUUUGCUGAGUUGGACUCGAUGUUACUGCUGAAGUUACUCCCACUGUGGCUAGUCUAACACGUACGCAGUACCACACAACAGCUUUGGCCGGUCAAUCUGAUUUACUAGCCGGCUGACUCACACGCAUGCACGUACACUAGAAACCGAUUGGAUUUCCAUGGGCAUGAUAAUUACUUUAUUGUCUUGUAAACUCACGGUUCGAUUUACAAGGGGUUUUACACACGUAUAUGCCAGGUUACUUGACCGAAUUAGAAGGGAAGACUAAUCCUACAUGGUCACUAAUUCAAGUACUCGUUGGAUUCCUAUACGUACAUGUAAUCUGAUACUGGGUUUACUUCCAACAAUUAGCACUGAACUACCUAAGUUAACAGCAUCGGUGUACGGGGCAGAGGCACAGCAGCAGCACCGGCAUAUCAGCAAGAGAAGCUAGUGGCGGGAGCAAGCAGCUCAAGCAGCAGGCAGGGGAGGCGGCGAGGAGUAGCAGAAGUGAGGAGCAGCAGCAGUGGCUUGUAGCAGUAGUAGUCUAGAGCAGCAGCGGCAGUAGAAGAGCACCAGUAGCAAGGCAAAAUCAGUAGCAGUAUGCAAGAGCAGCAGCGAGCAGUAGCAGCGAACGACGACACGGAGCAGGGCAGGCGCGUGCGGGAGGCAGGCCGGGCGCAUGGGGAGCAUGGCGGAGCGCGACGGGCGUGGGCAGGGGUCACGGCGAGUGCGGCCAGGGCAUGGUGGAAGCACGGCAAACGCGCACACACAGCAAACUUCGGGCGCGGCCAUGGUAGUUAGCGGAUGGCGGCCUACGGCAACGGGUCGAUGGGCAAAGGAGGGGGAAUCAGGGGAGAAGCUCACCGCGAAGCUCGUGGACAUGGUCGGGGAGGCAGAUCGACCGAAGCUCCACGGCAACCGUAGGAGGAAGAUGACUCGAUCCGGUCGAUGUAACGCGAGGGGACUCAAACUGGUGCCCUUAGAGGAGGUAGACGAGGCAGACGGAGCUCCUGGACAGGACGGAGUGGCGAGGGGAGGUCAAAGGCCACGGCAGCGGCGACGACGCUGCGACGACCGUACUGGUGUGUGUGCGGGGGAGCGAGCAACGCGAGAGAGGGGGAAGCGGCUAGGGUUCGGGAGGGAAGGUCGCGGCGUCGGUCUUAAGGGCACCGGAGAGGUGCCCGAUGGCCGGCACGUCGCCCAGCCUCAGUCACGGCGGGUGGAUGGCCGCCACGGCCC
rnacentral:lncRNA from 1 species